UACGUAGGGUGCGAGCGUUUGUCCGGAAUUACUGGGCGUAAAGAGCUCGUAGGCGGUUUGUCGCGUCGUCCGUGAAAACUUGGGGCUCAACCCCAAGCUUGCGGGCGAUACGGGCAGACUUGAGUACUGCAGGGGGAGACUGGAAUUCCUGGUGUAGCGGUGGAAUGCGCAGAUAUCAGGAGGAACACCGGUGGCGAAGGCGGGUCUCUGGGCAGUAACUGACGCUGAGGAGCGAAAGCGUGGGGAGCGAACAGG
rnacentral:rRNA from 1 species